rnacentral:piRNA from 1 species
UACUGGAACACUGGAUUAACAGAACGUUCA